ensembl:lncRNA
AAAAGAAUGAAUGAAUGCGGGCGCGCGUGUGUGCUCUGUAAGGCGCCCAGUUUCCAACCUCGAAAUUUCACUUCAUUUAAAUUUAAUUUGCAUGGUAUUUCUUAUCCUUACCAGAUGCCCGAACCACCUCAGCUGACUCCUUUCUAAGUAAAGGAGCAGCGGCUCUAAUCCGAGUUCCUCACGGAUGGCUGAGCUUCUCACCCUAUCCCUAAGGGAGACGCCCUUCUGAGAAAACUCAUCUCGGCCGCUUGUACCCGCGAUCUCGUCCUUUCGGUCAUCACCCAACCCUCAUGACCAUAGGUGAGGAUAGGAACGAAGAUCGACCGGUAGAUCGAGAGCUUUGCCUUGCGGCUCAGCUCUCUUUUCGUAACAACGGUGCGGUAAAGCGAACGCAAUACUGCCCCCGCUGCUCCGAUUCUCCGGCCAAUCUCACGCUCCAUAGUUCCCUCACUCGCGAACAAGACCCCGAGGUACUUGAACUCCUUCACUUGGGCAAACUAAACACGUAACGCAUAAUACAAUCAAUGGCAAUGUCUAUUACCGCGGGGACACAUGCAUAUUAGGAUAGCAUACAAUACUGAUAAGAAACAAUGUUUAUAAUGUAUUGCGUAUAUCAUUAAAUAGAACCACAGUUACCGCAUAUCAUAUGUUAUAGCCUAUCAUACGUUUUCUUUGCCGAAAUUUAUUUGAGGACUCUAUAUUCUAUAGUAUAGUAUAUAGUAUACUCUAUAGUAUAUUCCAUGUGUGAAUUAGGCCAUAUUAUUUGGCAAUAAACUAAGCCAUUUGCAGUUUGAAAUUCUCGGAGACUGCAGACGCGCUGUCAAAAUAUCAACUCGUCCGAUUCAAAUGCGCUCAUGGCUCUUAAAGGGGAUGGGAGCUGGCACUCUCAUUGGUUUGUUGCACGUUACGCCCAAACCACACCUACGGGUAAUUAGGCUGCUUCAGACCAACCCUUUUGACACUUGCGCCGCGGCGCAAGCGUCAUUUAUCCGCCUGUAAAAUAGCGAUAGCGCCGUAGAACCGCCCACAAAGCUACUUGCGCUUUGCGCUUCCCGCUUGCGUUUCAGACCGUUAAAAUAGGGCCCUUAGUCUUUCUUUCUUAGAUUAUAUUGGCUAUCGACAAGCCACAGCUAACAGAGGGUUAGAUGUGUGGUUCAGCUGUUCUUUCCCAAACGUGGGGGGACCCAAACACAGAAGCAGACCAUGGGGGGAAGAGGAUUAGCCAGGGGUUUAUUGUAGGGGAAAUGGGGAAUGAGGACGGUAGGAAAGACCGGAGGUGGGAAGACCUGAGAUGGACAAUCAAGGACGGAUGACACAGCUGAGCUGAGUUGAGGGAGAUGGAGAGGCAGGAAGGCAGGUGGCGUUACAGGCAGUGUUGGGAAAGUUCACUUUCUACGUGAACUAGUUCAAAGUUCAAAGUUCAGUUCACAAAUUUUAAAAUGAACUAGUUCAGUUGAACGUUCAUAAUUCAACAUUUUGAACUAAGUCCACAGUUCCAAAAAAUGAAGUAGUUCAUAGUUCUUUGUUUCAAUAUGUUGCUGUGAGAUAUUAUUUUUUUCCGGUAUUUUGAUCAUUGAGCACACUUUGUGGUUUGUCUAGGAUGAAAUAGAGUGGUUGAAUCGUAGCGAAAUACAGUUUCUAUCGUGUUUUAUUGCACAUUUAGCGCAUUUUGUAAACCCCAUUGAUUUCUGUUGGGAGACUCAUUGUUUGUUGGCCGGAAACCGAAAGGGGGGGUGUUCACAUUUGGUUGUAGUCUUUUCGCUCGGUUCUAGCCCUACUGUUGAGUCGGAGAACCGAGCGAAAAGACUACAACCAAACGUAAACAGCCCCCCUUUCCGUUUCUGGCCAACAAGCAAUGAUUCUAGGAGGCAUUCUAGUCCACUGAGCUAUGAGCCAGAGAGCUAACGUAAUGGAUUGUACAUAAUUAUAAUUCCAAAUUCGUCUCAGCCUUUAUACCACAGAUACUCUAGGGUAUAUAGCAUAUAACCGCGUUGUCCUGUCCCUUCACAUCGAUAUAAAUGAGGAUAUAAUGACCAAAUAAUCCAGUUUAAAUGUGCAGGACAACAUGUUCAAUAAACAUGGUUGCUUGUUGAUUAUUGUAUUAAUAUUUUAUGUUUAUGUUGUUUUUAAGUUCUAUCAAAUGCUUGUGUUCAAAUAUAAUGUAUCUUAUGAGUGUCACAGAUUGUUUUCAUGCAUGCUUUACCUUAGCAGCCUGUUAUUAUAGGUAGAAAUUUUUGAUAUAGGAGGAGGAGCCUUAAUAGGUCUUCUGUGAGGAAAGAUGUCUUAGCGUUGGCGGUAGAAAAAAAAAGACCACCUAUGCGAUAAAAACAUUUGACAUUUUGUAUGAAGUGAGUGAUUCUUUUAAAAUGAAUCACACAGAUGGAUGGUACGUGACAUUUGGUGCCAACAAAUUAAAAAGUUAGUAUAAAUGUUUUAAGCCCUGCUGCCUGGGACAGCGACUACACACAUCAUCCCAGAGUGAGUAUUUUCACUGGGUUCCUAGUCCUAGAUUAUUAUAUUUAGGUUAGGGAACGCUGGCAGGGUGGUUGAAGACAAUGUGAGGAAGAUUGGGAAAUAAUUCCCUUUUCAGUAUAAUCAGUAUAAUCAUCCUAUUACACAGUAGUGUAAUAGCUACGUAAUAAAGGUAUUCAGAAUGUCUGACGACUGAGUUGCUUACAAGAUAACGAUUUUCACUAGAUUACCAGUGUCCCCAUUGCUGUUUCUCUUAACCAAUAUAUAGGCCUAUCCUCUUUUUAAAUACCAAUAUACGUUGACAGUAAGAAAGAAUGCUCCUGAAGACACUGCAGUGUGCAGGUCUCAUGACCCCCAACCCUAACACCUCCCGACGAGCUAGUGGUCGCCUUGCAUUGUUGACCCCCCGUCAGUAAGUGAUGAUGAAUGUGUGAUUGAACCACUGAAGGCCACAUUGAUGAAAGCAUCUUCUAAAUGCACUAAAUGUAAAGGAAAAUGUUGAAAGACAAUUUAUUGUAGAAGUUUGUUGUGCCAGGUGAGGCUGCUUCAGUCAUCCACACUGAACACCCUUUUGAUUAUACUUUUUAAUGAAAUGUAUUUGUUUCAGUCUAAUAUUGGGUCUAAUAUCAGGACUGAUUAUCUUACUAGUUUAUCAUUGUUUAGGAGCUGUUUUUUCCCGCCUGUGUCCUCUGCCUUUGUCCCUCCACCAUGUUAUGCUGCAUCAUAAACCUUCCUCGACCCUUUCAGGGAAUAAUGGCCCUGGUUUAACAAGACCAGCUUGAAAACAUUUAUAUAUCUGUCUCAUAUUGUGUAUCAAUGUUUAAUCUAAUAAAAGGUUGGCAUGGGAAAAUGUGUGUGUAGUGUUUAAACAAGAAGUCACAACUUGAAGUCAGUGUUUCUAGUUUCCUCUUUUCUUUCCGUUGUAUGAUGAAAUGUUGAACUGUUAGAUCAUUCAAGUUGUAUCAUUCAUAUUGUAUCCAUGAACUUUAAUACCAAUGCUUUCCUAAGACAACCUUCUAAUAACUUUAUUUGAUUUAAUCAAAUUAUA